GUACUCACUUUGGCAGCACAUACACUAAAAUUAGAAUGAUACAGAAAUUAGCAUGGCCCUUGUGCAGGAAUGGCAUGCAAAUUUGUGAAGCAUUUCAUAUUAAA